UACAGAGGGUGCAAGCGUUGCUCGGAAUCAUUGGGCGUAAAGGGUAGGUAGGUGGUCUCAUUUGUCUGGGGUGAAAGCCCAGGGCUUAACCCUGGAAGUGCCCCGGAAACGGUGAGACUAGAGUAUUGGAGAGGGUCGUGGAAUUCCCGGUGUAGCGGUGAAAUGCGUAGAGAUCGGGAGGAACACCAGAGGCGAAGGCGGCGACCUGGACAAUUACUGACACUCAACUGCGAAAGCGUGGGGAGCAAACAGG
rnacentral:rRNA from 1 species